rnacentral:rRNA from 1 species
CCUACGGGAGGCAGCAGUGAGGAAUAUUGGUCAAUGGACGAGAGUCUGAACCAGCCAAGUAGCGUGAAGGAUGACUGCCCUAUGGGUUGUAAACUUCUUUUAUAAAGGAAUAAAACGAGGCACGUGUGCCUUUUUGCAUGUACUUUAUGAAUAAGGAUCGGCUAACUCCGUGCCAGCAGCCGCGGUAAUACGGAGGAUCCGAGCGUUAUCCGGAUUUAUUGGGUUUAAAGGGAGCGUAGAUGGGUUGUUAAGUCAGUUGUGAAAGUUUGCGGCUCAACCGUAAAAUUGCGAGUGAUACUGGCAGUCUUGAGUACAGUUGAGGUAAGCGGAAUUCGUGGUGUAGCGGUGGAAUGCUUAGAUAUCACGAAGAACCCCGAUUGCGAAGGCAGCUUACUAAACUGUGACUGACAUUGAUGCUCGAAAGUGUGGGUAUCAAACAGGAUUAGAUACCCGUGUAGUC